CUCUUCUCUUGGUCAUUUAGAGGAAGUAAAAGUCGUAACAAGGUUUCCGUAGGUGAACCUGCGGAAGGAUCAUUAUCGUACAACCGAGGUGCGAGGGCUGUCGCUGACCCCUUUGAAAGGUCGUGCACGCCCGAGCGCUCUCAUCCCAAUCCAUCUCACCCCUUUGUGCAUCACCGCGUGGGUCCGCCUUUGCGGGAGGGCCCACGUUUUCACAUAAAACAUGAUACAGUCUAGAAUGUUUAUUUUUGCGGUAACACGCAAUCAAUACAACUUUCAACAACGGAUCUCUUGGCUCUCGCAUCGAUGAAGAACGCAGCGAAAUGCGAUACGUAAUGUGAAUUGCAGAAUUCAGUGAAUCAUCGAAUCUUUGAACGCACCUUGCGCCCCUUGGCAUUCCGAGGGGCACACCCGUUUGAGUGUCGUGAAAUUCUCAAAAUCCUUUUCUUUGACCGGAAUAGGACUUUUGGACUUGGAGGUUCAAUGCUCGCUUUUGCCUUUGAAAGCGAGCUCCUCUCAAAUGAAUUAGUGGGGUCCGCUUUGCUGAUCCUUGACGUGAUAAGAUGUUUCUACGUUUUGGAUUUGGCACUGUUUUCUCCGCUCCCAACUGUCUCAUGGACAGCGAUGGUGCUCCGGUCGCCGCGUCUAUGGCGGGAGGCUGGACCCACAAAAAACCUUGACCUCAAAUCGGGUGAGACUACCCGCUGAACUUAAGCAUAUCAAUAGGCGGGAGGAAAAACCGUUGCCCAAUCCAAAACGUACAAACCUCUUUACCACCGUCAAGGGAUCCCAAAGCGGACCCCCCCCAAUUCAUUUGAGAGGAGCUCGUUUUCCAAAGGCAAAAGCGAGAAUGGAACCUCCAGUCCAAAGUCCUAUCCCGGUCAAAGAAAAGAUUUUGAAAAUUUCACGACACUCAACGGGUGUGCCCCUCGGAAUGCCAGGGGCGCAGGUGCGUUCAAAGAUCGAUGAUCACUGACUCUGCAAUUCACAUUACGUACGCAUUUCGCUGCGUCUUCAUCCAGGCAAAGCAAGAGAUCGUUGUGAAAUUGUAUGAAUGCUGUUACGCAAAAUAACAUUCAAACGUAUCAGUUUGGUGAAACUGGGCCCUCCCGCUACGGGGUCCACGCGUGCAUGCCCACAGGUGGAAUGGUAUGUGAUAAAGGCUCGGCCUGCACACCAUUCAAGGGAUCCACGACGCCCUGCCCCUAGUUUAGAAAUUGAACCUUCGCGGUUCCACCACGGAACUUGUGUUCCACCUUCUACUUCUUCCCUAAUACCAGAAGAAC
rnacentral:rRNA from 1 species